rnacentral:rRNA from 1 species
AUUGAACGCUGGCGGCAUGCCUUACACAUGCAAGUCGAACGGCAGCACGGGAGCUUGCUCCUGGUGGCGAGUGGCGAACGGGUGAGUAAUACAUCGGAACGUACCCUGACGUGGGGGAUAACGUAGCGAAAGUUACGCUAAUACCGCAUAUUCUGUGAGCAGGAAAGAGGGGGAUCGCAAGACCUCUUGCUUUAGGAGCGGCCGAUGUCGGAUUAGCUAGUUGGUGAGGUAAAAGGCUCACCAAGGCGACGAUCCGUAGCGGGUCUGAGAGGAUGAUCCGCCACACUGGGACUGAGACACGGCCCAGACUCCUACGGGAGGCAGCAGUGGGGAAUUUUGGACAAAUGGGCGCAAGCCUGAUCCAGCCAUGCCGCGUGAGUGAAGAAAGGCCU